CCACGAGAUUGUAACUAAUUUUUGAAAACUAGUGAGGAGUAGGAAUUUUAGGGUAGCUUGAGGUAGAAGUAGGCCCUAUUCUUAUCAAAACAAGACACACUUGUUGUACAAACGUUUUUUGAUGAAUAAAAUUUAGCAUUUCAUUAAAAAAAAAUGGACGGUGGUUUUUAGUGGUGGAAGAGACGAGAGAAGAGUAAUAAAGAAAUUAAGCACGGUGGUGGAUGGAGUAUAAGUUACGGUGGUUUAUGGUUUUCAAAAAAAAUAGAAGGACAAUAAAGAUUUAACAUGGUGGAGAGUGAAGAUAAUGACACGACGGAUGGUUCGUGACAAGAAAAGAAAUAGGAGGAAAAUGAUAUUCUUAAUUAAGAAGAAAACAGGGUAUUUUGAAGAGCUUAAACCUUUGUAAAAAGAAUAUCUGGAUGGGAGCGAACUAUUUUUGUUAGAAUUAUUAAUUUUAUGGAAUAUCAAACUAAAAU
rnacentral:lncRNA from 1 species